AGCAUUUUAAUCAAUCUGUUGUUUUGGUAAGUUUCUUGCAUUCUUAGGAUUUAAAAUGACUACAAGGAUUGUAGAGUUCUAAUGGUUGUGUCGGGUGUUUGCGGUGGCGAGGCUGAGCAUAUCAAACUGUACACAUGGACUGUGACUAAUGGUGUGCCAGUGUGGUGGUGACUGCCACACACUCACACAGGUUCUUGGUACUCUCUGUAACCUGUAGAUGAUGGGUGGCGAGUCCGGCAACCACAGAUCCAUUCCCCUGCAUAAUUUUCGUUUUUUCAUUUGAUUUGGUACAAGGCCUACUCAGAAUGGGUUCCCUGAUCUCAAAAUUGUCAGUUUUCUUGCCUUUAGUUUAUAGGUACCUUAACAAAUACAUGUAUUUACCAUAUUGGCAGUCAGCACCAUACGACAUUCAUUCUUCAUGAUCUCAUAUUUGAGGUUAGCAGUUCGAAGUAAUGUAAGAGCUUGCAUGUUUAUAGUUCUAACUAGCUUUUAGUUUAGCGUAGGAUAAGUCUUCCAUGAAUUCUUAGUUAGCUAUUUAUUUUUGCUGGCUUUGCAUGACACUGCAAUUUUUUCAUAUUUUUCUUCAAAAGUUAACUAUUUUCUUAUCUACAAUUAUCUCCUAGCGUUAGCAAGUCUGUCGUCCCUGACCACCCUGUCAGUCAUCUAUACAACUGUGGUUCAUGCCUGCGUGCUAUCCGCUCCUAAAUUCUCACACCAUGUCAGGUGUUUAGAAGUGAUGAUCAUUGUGGUCUUUAGUUGUCAUGGCUGUAAUCCUAGUGCAUGGGCUUUUGUGGGCUGGUCCAACCGGAGUUGGUUGAUGGCAGGGCUGUGCUCCAGGGACCGUAUGGCUGAAGAAGGGAUGCAAAUGGUAAGAGUUUUGAGAUGCAUAAACUCCCGUCUUUGAAUCAGAAACAGAAAAUUGUUUGUUUUCUCGUUUCUUAGUUAUGCUACCCUGCUCCACAUAGGUUUUACAGUGAAGAGCUGAAGAAGUUGUGACGGCGAUGAAAGGACUGAAAGAUUUGCUCGAAGCAAAGACAUCUAGCCGAGAUACAUAUGGUAAGAAUCUUCAGAGAUUGACUUCUUUUCACCUACUAUUGAGAUAUAUACUUGCUCAUAGGUCACAACUCAAGUUACUUCCUUACCUGCACAUAAAGUAGUGAUAAGUCGAUAUAAUUUUUCCGAGAACCUAUUUUUUUAAUAUGACAGCAUUCUACCUGCCCUCUGUUCUCUUUUAUGAUAUUUUUUGCUUUUCAUACAUUUUGUAGCAACGAAGAGGAGGGAUCUUAUGUAUAAUAUGCGACAUCCAUGGUGCUUAAGGUGUGCUAUUAAGUCUUAGUUACUCCUGCAAAAUAGCAUCUUAAUAAACAAAGGAUAUGCACCGCCAAGCAGUUUGUUGUGUAUUUUUUCCCCUCCAACCUUAUUGAUAUGCCUGUUGCUCAAGGUGUUUUUACUUGUUUACCUGAUUAACAAAUGAAUAUAAAUUUAAAACAUAGGUUAAUAAAUUUAGCGCAGUCCUGGCUGAAAUCCGUAUUUUUAUAUGUUGACUUUCCUUUGAAUAAUAUAAGUUGGUCUUGUUGCCGCAAAUGAUUGGAUACGCUAAAUUCUUUUUCAUGCAUGCAAGUUGAUUUGGUUAGCCUGUAAUACAUUAUUACGUUUAGUUAAAAAUUUACGUUUUGUAAUUCAGAUAUGGAACAAUGGUUUGUGAUAAUGCCCUUGCUUCUGACCCUCUUUUUUUAGUCAUUCAUAGAUGUGUGGGAGGGCUGGCCGUCCACCAUUUGGUGUGAUAGUAGAACAGUUCUAAUUAUGACAAGACGAGAGGCAAUAAUUUUUCUGUGUUUUCCUCCCCUUAAUUCCGAAAUACCUUUGGCAGGAAAAUGUUUCCUAUUUUUGGUCUAACCCAUCGUAAGUUUGUCUCGUGGGUCCAUCUAUAUGAGAACCUUCUCGGUGGGUGUCAAAUGGUGGAGUCUCAGUAUGAUCUUUUAAGUUCAGUUGAAAAGUUCUUACGUGAUAUUUUAACUGAAAUUUAACUAUGUCAUGGCUGGUACUUCAUUUGAAACUCCCGACUGAGUAUAAAUACUAUGACCAGACCUUCAUCUUGAUUCUUAAUGCUUUCUUUGUUUUAGUCUCCAUCUACAUCUGCAGUUCAUUAUUUUCCUAGAGAUGUCUAUAUAACCGUAUCAUGCAUUGUUUUUCUUCUAUGUAAAUAACACUUACCUUGGCUUUGGCGGUGGUGGUGCAGGAUUCGUCGCACACCAAACAGAGCACCCGAGGAGAUGCUUUGAAGAGAGGAAAUGAUAUGUUUUUUUGUUUUGUUUUAAGAGAAGAUAGGAG
rnacentral:lncRNA from 1 species